UUCCUUUUAAUGGACAAUUUUUUAACAAUUAUUAUAAUUUGAUUUAUUAGACCAUUUCUUUCCCUAUUUUGUUAAAUGUCAAUUAAUUCGUCAUUAAGGCAAGACCACAAUAAUAUUACAAUGUGUGUGUAUAAAUAUGCACCUCAAAGAGAAAAGGAGAGAGGGAAAAAAAUCCAAUUUGGAGAGGAUAAAAAUUGAACUUCAGGAAGAGAGCAUAAGGGAAAAAAAAAAGAGAAAGAAAAAAAAAUCCAAUUUCGGGAAGAGAACAUAAGGGAACAGGAAAAAUAGAAGGAGAGUUUUCUAGUUGUUAAGAAACUUUGAACCCAACCCCUUUUUCCCCUUUCUUUCUAUUUUGUUGCGUCGUUUUUUUCCUUUUCUGCUUGAUUCUCUUACUUCUUUCUUUUAUUUGCUUAUUUAUUUCAUUUCUAUUUUUUAUUUUUGUCUUUGUUUUUAUUACAUUUUAUCAUUAUUUUUUCUUUUUUUUUCUCCUGGUUUUGGUCUCAAACUUUUCUUCACCAAUUGUAAUUUAUGCAUGUUUGGUUUCUUUAUAUUCAUUUUUUUUAUGCAACCAUAAUAUAUCAACCCAUUUUUUUCCACACGUACAUUUUAUCUAUA
rnacentral:lncRNA from 1 species